CCGUUCCCCAAUCCUCUCUCUCCCUCCCGAUCUCUGCUCCGUCUUUCCCAUUCUCCUCCCCCUCUCCCUAAUGCAUCUCUGCCAUCUCUUCUAUCUCUCUCCACUGCAGCAGCCGUGAAGCUCCUACCCAAAGAAACACAUAUCAUUUGAAACCCUUCUCAUAUCUUUGAGGUAUCUUUUAAAACUGAAGGAAUCUGAGGCUCCUCUCCAUAGGUGGUGGUGCUGCUUCGAUUAUGCUUUGUCUAGUAAUGGUUGUGUUGAUGUUAAGGGGUGUGCCCAGCCCAUGCAGUAGUGCAACACAGGGGCACCACUUAAGGGCCAUGUUAUCGAGCUGCUAUGGUAGGCCCUCCCUUAGAGGAAAUUAAUUUAAUAUUAUGUGGAUUGAUGGCCCACAUAUCUUUAAACAUCAAUUUCAGCUAAUAUCUUUGCACGUGCAUUGGGUGUCAGCUAUCGGAUUUAAUUUAUUUACUAGAAACAAACAUUGGAAGAGAGCAGAAAGUUUAAAGGUUUUUAUCUGCAUUCAUAUGCUUUAAUGUCAUCUGUUAAUGAAUUUGUUCUCAACAUCAUCACAACAGGACAUUUCCAUCUUUUAAUGCUGAGAUGAUCUCAGUAGACUAUCUUACAUGUUUCUAAGGGUGUGUUUGGAUACAUGGAAUCCAUGUGGAAAUGGAAAUUGUUCCACUGACAAGAUAGUUGGGCUGUUUGGAUAUGUGGUUUUCAUACAGUAAUCACUGCACCUAUCUAUGGUUAGAAUGCUCUGGCACAGGAAACAAGGAUGACCAUUGUGUAUUGAAUUUGAGGAUUCUGCUUGCUAUCCAAACAUGCAUUCCAUUUUUGGAAUCCUACUUUCUAUAGUGACCAUGGAAAUUAUCAUUGGACACGGAAUUUAAAUGAAAUCCUUAUAUCCAAACAUGCCCUAAAGUUGUUGCUUUGUGAUUGGUGUUGCUUCUCUCUUACUGAAUUUGGUCUUGUGUUCAAUUUAUUGUAUUGGUGUUGGGUGAACAUGAAUGUUUCAGGCGAGUGAAACUAUUGUGGUGAAUUGGGGUUUCUACAGUGAAAAUGGAGGUUUUAAGAUAUGAUCACAUUUAUUCUAGUGAGAGUUGUUCCGUUGUCCUCAAGGACUCUAUUUCCAUGUAAAUUUCUCAUGUUUUUUCUUUUUCUUUCCACCUUUGGCCUCAAUAAAUUUGCACCAUCUUUCCCAGAUUAACCUUUUGAAAUGAAAACAUUACAAACCUUUAAUUUGUUUCUUAUGGAUAUCUUCCUGACUGGAGGAGAUGUGUUGAUUGAUUCCUCUUCAUCCAUCAUACAUCCAGCUCACUCUUGUUGUUUCUCUAUUUUAUUUUGGUGCUAAUGUAAUUUUCUAAGUUAACCAUUAUUUAUUUACUUUUAUAGUUUACAAAAAACUAGAAGUUAGAGGAUAGAUAGGCACUGCUUUGACGCACUCUAAAGCAAUUUAUACUUGAAAUUGCUGGGAGUUCUUAUUGUAAGUGAGAGGGUAACAAGGAAAACUUCCCUAGCUCUAGCAAUAGCUGCAGAAGCUAAGGUACUAGUUGUUGAAGUUAAAGCUCGCCAACUGGAGGCUGGAUUGUGGGUUGCCCAAAACGCCGCAAAUGUUAGGGAGCUGUUUCAAACAGCAAGGGAUUUGGCAUAAGUGAUAAUCUUUGUUGAGGAUUUCAACCUCUUUGUCGGUGUUCGUGGGAAGUUUAUUCACACAAAAGAGCAGGACCAUGAGGCAUUUAUCAAUAAACUUCUUGUGGAACUUGAUGGGUAGAGUUCUUUUUUUUUUUUCCGGUACAAAAAGUCAUAAUCUUCUAGAGGAAAACUGUGAUCCUCUGCUAGAGCAUGUUGAGUGAUGUGAAGGCACUUCAAGUUAAAACUCACUUAAAAACUACAUAGUAAUUCAUCUGAAGCUGUCUAAAUUAUGGCCACUGACAGCAAUGUUGAAGCGGGUAUUGGUUUAGCAGGUAAUUCCUGAAAGUAGACAAAAUCUUAUUUAUUGGAAGCUUGCUGCUGCUUUUCUUGUGAGCUUUGACUGAACUUUUUUAGUACUUUUUAAAAAAAAUACUUCUUAAUACUUAUUUUUAGAAGGAAAAAGGUAGAAGGCAAUGGAAAACCGAAUGAUGAUAUCAGAUAAUAUGUAAAAGGCGAGGGAACCAUGGAUGUGGAUAGAAAUCCAAAAUAAACAUGUUACAUUAAUUUUGUUGUGAGGAAACCACUGAUAAUUUCUUGUAGAUUUGUCUACACCUUAUUUUUUGCUACAUGUCUAAAUCAAUGGAUAGCUGAUGUCUGACUUGGUUUAUAGUUAUGGCACACCUAAUGAGUCAAAUGGCCUGAUUUUUAUGCCAAGUGAUCGUCAUGGUGGGGCCCACCUUUUUCUUGGAUCCAAUUUGCUACGAAUGAGACAUAUUUGAGGGAAAGAUGGGGUUGUAUGUGAAAGCUAUUUCUCUAAAUGAGAUUCUUGCCUGGAAUGCUUUCUGUUUUUAAGCACGGAAACCAUAUGCUUUUUACAGGAUGUGUUUAGAUGAUAAACAUUGCAUGUGAAGUACUAUUUACACUGAAACCCCUUUUUUCAAGGAAUUUUUUUUUUUUUAUUCACUUUACAGGUAAAGAGUUUACAAGCCAAUUGUUUGAUACUUGGGAGAAUAUAAUGUUUAAUACACAUGCAUCUUUGUAGGUGGGGCCCAUCGUGAUGGGCGCAUGAUAACCAAUAUGUCCAUCCUGUGCAUUCAUUGACGUGAAACUGGCUAUAUGAAAAACUGAUUUGGAUUUAUCACAUUUGAUUGGAAACAAGAUUUUCUUGAAUUGGAAUUUGCAAGAU